GACGAACGCUGGCGGCGUGCCUAAUACAUGCAAGUAGAACGCUGAAGGAGGAGCUUGCUUCUCUGGAUGAGUUGCGAACGGGUGAGUAACGCGUAGGUAACCUGCCUGGUAGCGGGGGAUAACUAUUGGAAACGAUAGCUAAUACCGCAUAAUAGCAGUUAUUGCAUGAUAACUGUUUAAAAGGUGCAAUUGCAUCACUACCAGAUGGACCUGCGUUGUAUUAGCUAGUUGGUGGGGUAACGGCUCACCAAGGCGACGAUACAUAGCCGACCUGAGAGGGUGAUCGGCCACACUGGGACUGAGACACGGCCCAGACUCCUACGGGAGGCAGCAGUAGGGAAUCUUCGGCAAUGGACGGAAGUCUGACCGAGCAACGCCGCGUGAGUGAAGAAGGUUUUCGGAUCGUAAAGCUCUGUUGUAAGAGAAGAACGAGUGUGAGAGUGGAAAGUUCACACUGUGAC
rnacentral:rRNA from 1 species